GUUAAGCGACUAAGCGUACACGGUGGAUGCCCUGGCAGUCAGAGGCGAUGAAGGACGUGCUAAUCUGCGAUAAGCGUCGGUAAGGUGAUAUGAACCGUUAUAACCGGCGAUUUCCGAAUGGGGAAACCCAGUGUGUUUCGACACACUAUCAUUAACUGAAUCCAUAGGUUAAUGAGGCGAACCGGGGGAACUGAAACAUCUAAGUACCCCGAGGAAAAGAAAUCAACCGAGAUUCCCCCAGUAGCGGCGAGCGAACGGGGAGCAGCCCAGAGCCUGAAUCAGUGUGUGUGUUAGUGGAAGCGUCUGGAAAGGCGCGCGAUACAGGGUGACAGCCCCGUACACAAAAAUGCACAUGCUGUGAGCUCGAUGAGUAGGGCGGGACACGUGGUAUCCUGUCUGAAUAUGGGGGGACCAUCCUCCAAGGCUAAAUACUCCUGACUGACCGAUAGUGAACCAGUACCGUGAGGGAAAGGCGAAAAGAACCCCGGCGAGGGGAGUGAAAAAGAACCUGAAACCGUGUACGUACAAGCAGUGGGAGCACGCUUAGGCGUGUGACUGCGUACCUUUUGUAUAAUGGGUCAGCGACUUAUAUUCUGUAGCAAGGUUAACCGAAUAGGGGAGCCGAAGGGAAACCGAGUCUUAACUGGGCGUUAAGUUGCAGGGUAUAGACCCGAAACCCGGUGAUCUAGCCAUGGGCAGGUUGAAGGUUGGGUAACACUAACUGGAGGACCGAACCGACUAAUGUUGAAAAAUUAGCGGAUGACUUGUGGCUGGGGGUGAAAGGCCAAUCAAACCGGGAGAUAGCUGGUUCUCCCCGAAAGCUAUUUAGGUAGCGCCUCGUGAAUUCAUCUCCGGGGGUAGAGCACUGUUUCGGCAAGGGGGUCAUCCCGACUUACCAACCCGAUGCAAACUGCGAAUACCGGAGAAUGUUAUCACGGGAGACACACGGCGGGUGCUAACGUCCGUCGUGAAGAGGGAAACAACCCAGACCGCCAGCUAAGGUCCCAAAGUCAUGGUUAAGUGGGAAACGAUGUGGGAAGGCCCAGACAGCCAGGAUGUUGGCUUAGAAGCAGCCAUCAUUUAAAGAAAGCGUAAUAGCUCACUGGUCGAGUCGGCCUGCGCGGAAGAUGUAACGGGGCUAAACCAUGCACCGAAGCUGCGGCAGCGACACUAUGUGUUGUUGGGUAGGGGAGCGUUCUGUAAGCCUGUGAAGGUGUACUGUGAGGUAUGCUGGAGGUAUCAGAAGUGCGAAUGCUGACAUAAGUAACGAUAAAGCGGGUGAAAAGCCCGCUCGCCGGAAGACCAAGGGUUCCUGUCCAACGUUAAUCGGGGCAGGGUGAGUCGACCCCUAAGGCGAGGCCGAAAGGCGUAGUCGAUGGGAAACAGGUUAAUAUUCCUGUACUUGGUGUUACUGCGAAGGGGGGACGGAGAAGGCUAUGUUGGCCGGGCGACGGUUGUCCCGGUUUAAGCGUGUAGGCUGGUUUUCCAGGCAAAUCCGGAAAAUCAAGGCUGAGGCGUGAUGACGAGGCACUACGGUGCUGAAGCAACAAAUGCCCUGCUUCCAGGAAAAGCCUCUAAGCAUCAGGUAACAUCAAAUCGUACCCCAAACCGACACAGGUGGUCAGGUAGAGAAUACCAAGGCGCUUGAGAGAACUCGGGUGAAGGAACUAGGCAAAAUGGUGCCGUAACUUCGGGAGAA
rnacentral:rRNA from 1 species